rnacentral:rRNA from 1 species
AUACGGAGGGUGCAAGCGUUAAUCGGAAUUACUGGGCGUAAAGCGUACGUAGGCGGUCCGUUAAGUUAGAUGUGAAAGCCCCGGGCUUAACCUGGGAACUGCAUUUAAAACUGGCGAACUAGAGUUGAGUAGAGGGGAGUGGAAUUUCAGGUGUAGCGGUGAAAUGCGUAGAGAUCUGAAGGAACACCAGUGGCGAAGGCGACUCCCUGGACUCGAACUGACGCUGAGGUACGAAAGCGUGGGUAGCAAACGGGAUUAGAAACCCUGGUAGUCC